rnacentral:rRNA from 1 species
GCACUGAAUGGAUUAACUAUUCUUUAUUUAUUUAUUUAUUUAUUAAAAAUACUUUUAAGUCCAUCUUAUAGAAAAUUUUAAACUUUCUAACCGAAAUAAAAAAUUAUUGUAACUCGCCUUACUUCUUAUUUAUUUGCUGCACUUUGAUUUGUAUUAAAUUUAAAAUAAGAUUUUGGACCCACCUAAAGGUGGGUCCACGACAACGGUAUACAAGGUAAAUAAGUAUCAUAUUCUUGGUGGCUAUCAAUUAUAUGGUAAGUUCCCCUAAAAUACUACAUUCAGCCGCCAUAAUAUUUAAGUUUAGGCUUAAUGGAAAGCAUUAAUUCUUGUUUAAAAUAUAUUUAUCUCCUUAUAGUUGGGUAUCUAAUCCGGGUUUAAUUUUUGGAGGUUGUUAUAGUAUGAAUAUAGUUAGGUUACAAAAGUAAUAGCAUUUCACUGCAUAUUUAUAUUUUGUAUAUUUGUAAUUAUUUAAACAAUUACUAUAAAUUUAUCUAAUAGGUAUGACCGCGGUUGCUGGCACCUAAUAAACCUAGAUUAUAUAAUUAUCUAAACUUAAAUUUCUUUAGUGGUUUAAAAUUUUUAACUGGAAAAUUGUUUACAUUCCAUAUUAAAUUAGAUUAUAGACUUAUAGAUCCAUCAUAUUAAAGUGGUUGGUCUAAGGGGGUUGUUUACCAUUUUAGA